GACGAACGCUGGCGGCGUGCUUAACACAUGCGAGUCGAACGGAAAGGCCCUGCUUUUGUGGGGUGCUCGAGUGGCGAACGGGUGAGUAACACGUGAGUAACCUGCCCUUGACUUUGGGAUAACUUCAGGAACUGGGGCUAAUACCGGAUAGGAGCUCCUGCUGCAUGGUGGGGGUUGGAAAGUUUCGGCGGUUGGGGAUGGACUCGCGGCUUAUCAGCUUGUUGGUGGGGUAGUGGCUUACCAAGGCUUUGACGGGUAGCCGGCCUGAGAGGGGGACCGGCCACAUUGGGACUGAGAUACGGCCCAGACUCCUACGGGAGGCAGCAGGGGGGAAUAUUGCACAAUGUGCGGAAGCCUGAUGCAGCAACGCCGCGUGCGGGAGGACGGCCUUCGGGUGGUAAACCGCUUUCGCCUGUGACGAAGCGUGAGUGACGGUAAUGGGUAAAGAAGCACCGGCUAACUACGG
rnacentral:rRNA from 1 species